UUACGGCCAUAUCACAUUGAAAUACCGGUUCCCAUAUGAACACCGAAGUUAAGCAAUGUUGAGCCUGGUCAGUACCUAGAUUGGUAACUGCUUGCUUGGGAAUACCAGGUGCUGUAA